rnacentral:rRNA from 1 species
CCUACGGGUGGCAGCAGUGAGGAAUAUUGGUCAAUGGGCGCGAGCCUGAACCAGCCAAGUCGCGUGAAGGAUGACGGUCCUACGGAUUGUAAACUUCUUUUGUCAAGGAACAAAAUCAGGCACGCGUGCCUUUCCGAGGGUACUUGAAGAAUAAGCAUCGGCUAACUCCGUGCCAGCAGCCGCGGUAAUACGGAGGAUGCGAGCGUUAUCCGGAUUUAUUGGGUUUAAAGGGUGCGUAGGCGGGCGGUUAAGUCAGCGGUAAAAGUUUGGGGCUCAACCCCAACGAGCCGUUGAAACUGGGUGGCUUGAGAUAGCGAGAGGUAUGCGGAAUGCGCAGUGUAGCGGUGAAAUGCUUAGAUAUCACGCAGAACUCCGAUUGCGAAGGCAGCAUACCGGCGGCCAACUGACGCUGAUGCACGAAAGUGUGGGUAUCGAACAGGAUUAGAUACCCUAGUAGUC